rnacentral:rRNA from 1 species
UACGUAGGGUGCGAGCGUUGUCCGGAAUUAUUGGGCGUAAAGAGCUCGUAGGCGGCCUGUCGCGUCGGAUGUGAAAGCCCGGGGCUUAACCUGGGAACUGCAGUCGAUACUGGUGGACUAGAGUACGGUAGAGGGUGGCGGAACUCCGGGUGUAGCGGUGAAAUGCGUAGAUAUCCGGAAGAACACCGAUGGCGAAGGCAACCACCUGGGCCUGUACUGACGCUGAGGUACGAAAGCGUGGGGAGCAAACAGG